GCGUCUAUAGCUCAGUGGCUUUAGAGCACGUGGCUACGAACCAUGGGGUCAAGGGUUCAAUUCCUUUUAGACGCA
rnacentral:tRNA from 1 species